rnacentral:rRNA from 1 species
UACAGAGGGGGCGAGCGUUAUUCGGAAUUAUUGGGCGUAAAGGGCGCGUAGGCGGCUUUGCAAGUGACGGGUGAAAUCCCUCGGCUUAACCGAGGAACUGCCUGUCAAACUGCAUGGCUUGAGACCGGGAGAGGUGAGUGGAAUUCCCAGUGUAGCGGUGAAGUGCGUAGAUAUUGGGAGGAACACCAGUGGCGAAGGCGACUACCUGGCCCAUUCUUGACGCUGAGGCGCGAAAGCUAGGGGAGCGAACGGG